rnacentral:rRNA from 1 species
CAACAGGGAUUGCCCUAGUAACGGCGAGUGAAGCGGCAACAGCUCAAAUUUGAAAUCUGGCUCUUUCAGAGUCCGAGUUGUAAUUUGCAGAGGGCGCUUUGGCUUUGGCAGCGGUCCAAGUUCCUUGGAACAGGACGUCACAGAGGGUGAGAAUCCCGUACGUGGUCGCUAGCUAUUGCCGUGUAAAGCCCCUUCGACGAGUCGAGUUGUUUGGGAAUGCAGCUCUAAAUGGGAGGUAAAUUUCUUCUAAAGCUAAAUAUUGGCCAGAGACCGAUAGCGCACAAGUAGAGUGAUCGAAAGAUGAAAAGCACUUUGGAAAGAGAGUCAAACAGCACGUGAAAUUGUUGAAAGGGAAGCGCUUGCAGCCAGACUUGCUUGCAGUUGCUCAUCCGGGCUUUUGCCCGGUGCACUCUUCUGUAGGCAGGCCAGCAUCAGUUUGGGCGGUGGGAUAAAGGUCUCUGUCACGUACCUCUCUUCGGGGAGGCCUUAUAGGGGAGACGACAUACCACCAGCCUAGACUGAGGUCCGCGCAUCUGCUAGGAUGCUGGCGUAAUGGCUGUAAGCGGCCCGUCUUGAAACACGGACCAAGGAGUCUAACAUCUAUGCGAGUGUUUGGGUGUCAAGCCCGAGCGCGUAAUGAAAGUGAACGGAGGUGGGAACCCGCAAGGGUGCACCAUCGACCGAUCCUGAAGUUUACGGAAGGAUUUGAGUAAGAGCAUGGCUGUUGGGACCCGAAAGAUGGUGAACUAUGCUUGAAUAGGGUGAAGCCAGAGGAAACUCUGGUGGAGGCUCGCAGCGGUUCUGACGUGCAAAUCGAUCGUCAAAUUUGGGCAUAGGGGCGAAAGACUAAUCGAACUAUCUAGUAGCUGGUCUGC